GAUUGCAAGUAAAGGAUUUUCUGAGAUCAUACUUGAUAGUUAAUAUUAAUUCAUUAUAGAACUGUGUGCCAGCGCUUUCCGUUGUUCGGAACCCAAUACAAAUUGGACAAACCGCAGAUUGGGUCCCGCAUAUUUAUUUCAUACUGUGCUCAAUUGUCAAUUUGUUUGGGAACUCCACCGAAUACGUGAUUAUGUAUCGAUAGUAAGAGAAGACGUCAAAUCGUAUACAACAUGAGGCAAGGACAAAAUUCAUCACCGACAAACCAUCUUGCGGAAGUUUACUAAAAUGGAUACCUCGAAUCACUUGUUGCAACAGUGUAGAGCCGUGGUUAACUACUACAACGUCCACAUAAAUAUCAGCCCACAAUUGAGCACGAUUAUGUAGUAUGAUAAUAUUGCUAAUAAAUAAUUGAAUGAUU